CGAGUAGUAGAGGAGUCAGGUUUAUCUCUCCUCAUUUGGGAUGAGGAGUGCGUAGGUUCAAACUCUGAACGAAGUGAUCACCGCAGGUAAUCCUACCUAUUCGA
rnacentral:tRNA from 1 species